GUGGUAAUAAAUGCUGGAAUAAAAAUCUACAGCUACCAUUUAUUACACUAUCAUGUUCUAUGCUGACCUACUGUAGUAAUGUCAAUCCUGACCCAAUCUCUUUAGGGACUGUAAACAUACCCGUCCCAGGGACUGUGAACACACCCGUCCCGCCCAGUUUUGACUAUCCAGCUACCUCCACACUAACCAGUCCGUGGAGAGCAAGUCUAACCGGCAUGCACGACAUCAACGCAAAAGCACAGCGC
rnacentral:lncRNA from 1 species